rnacentral:lncRNA from 1 species
CUUCAGGAAAAAAGCACUGAGAAUCACUGCUUUUCUCUCCCUUUACCACUGAAGCUUUGGGUCCUCAGCAUUCUUUGAACUGCCUGGAGUUUCUGGCUGUGUUAUCCAUCCUGUCCUCUCUAGGCUAAUAAAUAUCACCAUUCAAUUCUGCAACAUCAAACCAGAGCUCACGGAGGCAUUGUGACUUGCAAGUGAAGAGAAUGGAUUCUAACCUGGGUUUAGCAGCAAUCUGAAAUUCUGAAAAAAUCCCAUUUGCAACAAUGAGACAUCUUAGCUGCUUUCCUCAGGAAGUCCAGAGAAUUGUGGAAUUUGUUCAAAGCUGGAAGACUUUUGAGACGGAGGUCAAGAAAAACAAAAGAGGCUCCAAAGAGUGCUGUCUAGGCCACAAUACAGGGAGAAGGAGCAUACCACUCUCACCGGGCUGACUUUGGAGUUCAGGGAAGAUGGAGAGAUUGGAAAGUGUGAUGCAGAAGUUCUGUGGGAAGUCAUCACUGCCUAGAGUAGAGAAUGAAAUCAACAAGUAUGUAGCAUACACUAUAUAUGUGACUUCCUAACAUCUGAGUCCAGGAAGUCAGUCUGAUAACCAUCACAGCUUUCCUCCAUCCAUCCAACUCUAACUGGAACCAUAUGGAUUUUAUAAAAUCUCAACUUUGAACUCCCUUUAAUGUAGCCACG